rnacentral:rRNA from 1 species
AGUGAACGCUGGCGGUAGGCCUAACACAUGCAAGUCGAACGGCAGCACAGUAAGAGCUUGCUCUUACGGGUGGCGAGUGGCGGACGGGUGAGGAAUACAUCGGAAUCUACUUUUUCGUGGGGGAUAGCGUAGGGAAACUUACGCUAAUACCGCAUACGACCUACGGGUGAAAGCAGGGGAUCUUCGGACCUUGCGCGAUUGAAUGAGCCGAUGUCGGAUUAGCUAGUUGGCGGGGUAAAGGCCCACCAAGGCGACGAUCCGUAGCUGGUCUGAGAGGAUGAUCAGCCACACUGGAACUGAGGCACGGUCCAGACUCCUACGGGAGGCAGCAGUGGGGAAUAUUGGACAAUGGGCGCAAGCCUGAUCCAGCCAUACCGCGUGGGUGAAGAAGGCCUUCGGGUUGUAAAGCCCUUUUGUUGGGAAAGAAAAGCAGCAGGUUAAUACCCCGCUGUUCUGACGGUACCCAAAGAAUAAGCACCGGCUAACUUCGUG